UGAUGUGGAUCAUGUGGAUGUCGCGUUCGGUUGCGAUAGAGGCAAUUUUUUAUUUUUUGACAGGCAGUGAAAGGUUAGGAAAGCGAUGAGAAGGUGUUCGUCAUUGAAUGGAAAUAAAAAGGAAGAGGUUCAAUUUCAAUCUUCAGGUGCAGAGGUUACAAAAGGAUGCUUCUGCUGUUGUCUCCAGGUACAGCUACCCUCAUAGUUUCAUAGUAUUGAACACAAAAUAAAGGAUGCAACAAAAAACUAUAUUUGGAGAAUGAAAAUUUUUAUUGCAUUUACUUCAAAUUAAUACAUAGGAUAAUAUACCAUGCAUGACUGUGAUACUAACAUCAUCCCAAGCUAUAACAGCUAGGAGAACAGAAGGUUUGCAUAGUUAAUGUUAUCUAUAAUUUCUGGCAUAUCUCACAAUAUAAAAAAGCUCAUUUAAUAUCAUGAGUGUAUGUGUACAUGAGCUAAAUAUGAUCAAGAAAAUAUUUGUGUGUUACAACAAUACAAAAUUAUUUUUAAAAUAGACUGAAGCUUAAAUGUCAUAAGAAUCUUGAUUCAGAAUAAUCAGGAAGUCUCAAAUUUACAGUGUAUGCAAUUUUCAGUGUUAGUUGUGUUAAUCUGUACUCUUAAAUGUUCUAAAAACUGACCUCUAAGGCCCUAACAUCUCAAACUGGCCAUGAAGGUACAUGAUCCAACCACUCUUAAGUAUACAUAUUCAAUUUACAUUCUGUCUUUUGUUUGUAACCAUUUUCUUGCCAGUUGCUGAACUUAUGUUUUAAUAUUUGGACUCAUUAAAUAAAAAUGGCCACAUUUAUGGUUUAAAAACCAGUUAAAUUUAGGGGGAGGCAGUAAGAUUAUUUGCAUCAAAAUAUCUUUUUGUCAGUUCUGAUAGUCAAAAGUCUAAACCUCAUAUAAUGGCAUUAAAGGCUGACUUAAUUAAAUGUCCAAGUGACUGCUGGCAUGCCCCAACCAAUUCUACAUAUUGCGGUAAUGAAUAUUGGGUAUUUUAUAAUUCUAUGAGCUGAAGGGAAUUUAUC